rnacentral:rRNA from 1 species
UACAGAGGGUGCAAGCGUUGUUCGGAAUUAUUGGGCGUAAAGCGCGUGUAGGCGGCUUUGUAAGUCGGGUGUGAAAUCCCUCAGCUCAACUGAGGAAGUGCGCCCGAAACUACAUUGCUUGAGUACCGGAGAGGGUAGCGGAAUUCCCCAAGUAGAGGUGAAAUUCGUAGAUAUGGGGAGGAACACCGGUGGCGAAGGCGGCUACCUGGACGGUCACUGACGCUGAGACGCGAAAGCGUGGGGGGCGAACAGG